rnacentral:lncRNA from 1 species
ACUACAAGUUACCAGAAUGCACUUUAAGGCUUCUCUUCAACAUAUCUGAAUGCCCGGCAUCAUUACUCUUGUGCUGAAUACCUUCCAGGACCCCUCCUGCUGCCCAUCCUGUGGACCCACCUGCACAGCAAGGCAUGGAGCUCAUGGACCUGAGGCUGAACUGCAUGUGAACUUGUCCUGUGUGAAUGCAGAAAUUUGUCUGUUAAAAAUUAUUCCAAUUAAAGAAGCUUAAAAUUAUAAGCAGAAGUUCUCUCUUGUCAGAUAUAUACUCAGUGAUUCACACAUACAAUUAUAAACACACCACUUUUUAAAGUGUCAGAAUGCCUGUGCGUUGUAGGGCACGAACCUGUGGCUAUUCUAUGAAUAAGUACAUCAGUGUCUUUGAGUCUCAUGUCUUAUGCAUCUUAACAUAAGGGUGUCCGUCUUUGUAUAUCUGAUUUAUCAUGUCCUU